GCGCGCGUAGCUCAAUUGGAUAGAGCAUCGGUCUACGGAACCGAAGGUUACAGGUUCGAAUCCCGUCGCGCGUA
rnacentral:tRNA from 1 species